rfam:Nicotiana sylvestris Nsyl_contig146895, whole genome shotgun sequence.
UCCUCAAUAGCUCAAUGGUAGAGCGGUCGGCUGUUAAUCGAUUGGUCGUAGGUUCGAAUCCUACUUAGGGAG